AAUCCAUGGUGAGAACACCUUCUCAAUAGAUCUUUGUAGCUCUCCCAUGCAUCAUAAAGUGUUUCUAAAUCUAUCUGCACAAAAGAAGAGAUAUCAUUCCUCAAUUU
rfam:Gossypium hirsutum cultivar TM-1 chromosome 12, whole genome shotgun sequence